GGAGGUACAGCUUAGUAGUAGAGUGCCUGCUUAGCAUGCCUGAGGUCCUGGGUUCAAUCCCCAAUACAUCCA
rfam:Camelus ferus unplaced genomic scaffold scaffold144, whole genome shotgun sequence.